UACGGUGAAUACGUUCCCGGACCUUGUACACACCGCCCGUCAAGCCAUGGAAGCCGGGUGUACCUAAAGUCGGUAACCGCAAGGAGCCGCCUAGGGUAAAACUGGUGACUGGGGCUAAGUCGUAACAAGGUACCC
rnacentral:rRNA from 1 species